GGAAGCGUGGUCGAACGGUCUAAGGAUCUGGUUUAAGGCACCAGUCUCCUCGGAGGCGUGGGUUCGAAUACCGCUGCCA